AACGAACGCUGGCGGCAUGCCUAACACAUGCAAGUCGAACGAGACCUUCGGGUCUAGUGGCUCACGGGUGCGUAACGCGUGGGAACCUGCCCUUAGGUUCGGAAUAACUCCCCGAAAGGGGUGCUAAUACCGGAUAAUGUCUUCUGACCAAAGAUUUAUCGCCUUUGUGUGGGCCCGCGUUGGCUUAGCUAGGUGGUAGGGUAAAAGCCUACCAAGGCGACGAUCCAUAGCUGGUAUGAGAGGCUGAUCAGCCACACUGGGACUGAGACACGGCCCAGACUCCUACGGGAGGCAGCAGUGGGGAAUAUUGGAAAAUGGGCGAAAGCCUGAUCCAGCAAUGCCGCGUGAGUGAUGAAGGCCUUAGGGUUGUAAAGCUCUUUUACACGGGAUGAUAAUGACAGUACCGGGAGAAUAAGCUCCGGCUAACUCCGUG
rnacentral:rRNA from 1 species